GUGGGGAAUCUUGCGCAAUGGGCGAAAGCCUGACGCAGCCAUGCCGCGUGAAUGAUGAAGGUCUUAGGAUUGUAAAAUUCUUUCACCGGGGACGAUAAUGACGGUACCCGGAGAAGAAGCCCCGGCUAACUUCGUGCCAGUAGCCGCGGUAAUACGAAGGGGGCUAGCGUUGCUCGGAAUUACUGGGCGUAAAGGGCGCGUAGGCGGACAGUUUAGUCAGAGGUGAAAGCCCAGGGCUCAACCUUGGAAUUGCCUUUGAUACUGGCUGUCUUGAGUACGGGAGAGGUGAGUGGAACUCCGAGUGUAGAGGUGAAAUUCGUAGAUAUUCGGAAGAACACCAGUGGCGAAGGCGACUCACUGGCCCGUUACUGACGCUGAGGCGCGAAAGCGUGGGGAGCAAACAGGAUUAGAAACCCUAGUAGUCC
rnacentral:rRNA from 1 species